rnacentral:rRNA from 1 species
GAUGAACGCUGGCGGCGUGCCUAAUACAUGCAAGUCGAGCGAACAGAUAAGGAGCUUGCUCCUUUGACGUUAGCGGCGGACGGGUGAGUAACACGUGGGUAACCUACCUAUAAGACUGGAAUAACUCCGGGAAACCGGGGCUAAUGCCGGAUAACAUUUAGAACCGCAUGGUUCUAAAGUGAAAGAUGGUUUUGCUAUCACUUAUAGAUGGACCCGCGCCGUAUUAGCUAGUUGGUAAGGUAACGGCUUACCAAGGCAACGAUACGUAGCCGACCUGAGAGGGUGAUCGGCCACACUGGAACUGAGACACGGUCCAGACCCCUACGGGAGGCAGCAGUAGGGAAUCUUCCGCAAUGGGCGAAAGCCUGACGGAGCAACGCCGCGUGAGUGAUGAAGGUCUUCGGAUCGUAAAACCCUGUUAUUAGGGAAGAACAAAUGUGUAAGUAACUGUGCACGUCUUGACGGUACCUAAUCAGAAAGCCACGGCUAACUACGUG